AGUGAACGCUGGCGGCAGGCCUAACACAUGCAAGUCGAGCGGCAGCGCGUCCGACCACCCUCGGGUGGUCGGAUGGCGGCGAGCGGCGGACGGGUGAGGAAUGCAUCGGAAUCUGCCUCGUUGUGGGGGGAUAACGUAGGGAAACUUACGCUAAUACCGCGUACGACCUACGGGUGAAAGUGGGGGACCUUCGGGCCUCACGCGAUGAGAUGAGCCGAUGCCGGAUUAGCUAGUUGGCGGGGUAAAGGCCCACCAAGGCGACGAUCCGUAGCUGGUCUGAGAGGAUGAUCAGCCACACUGGAACUGAGACACGGCCCAGACUCCUACGGGAGGCAGCAGUGGGGAAUUUUGGACAAUGGGCGCAAGCCUGAUCCAGCAAUGCCGCGUGAGUGAAGAAGGCCUCGGUUGUAAGCGUACUUCUAGUCGAGAAGAAAAAGACUAGCAGUGAAUAACU
rnacentral:rRNA from 1 species